rnacentral:rRNA from 1 species
GGAGGAAAAGAAACCAACAGGGAUUGCCUCAGGAGCGGCGAGUGAAGCGGCAAAAGCUCAAAUUUGAAAUCUGGGGUCUUUGGCGUCCGAGUUGUAAUUUGAAGAAGGUAUCUUUGGGCCCGGCUCUUGUCUAUGUUCCUUGGAACAGGACGUCACAGAGGGUGAGAAUCCCGUGCGAUGAGAUGACCCGGGUCUGUGUAAAGUUCCUUCGACGAGUCGAGUUGUUUGGGAAUGCAGCUCUAAGUGGGUGGUAAAUUCCAUCUAAAGCUAAAUAUUGGCGAGAGACCGAUAGCGAACAAGUACAGUGAUGGAAAGAUGAAAAGAACUUUGAAAAGAGAGUGAAAAAGUACGUGAAAUUGUUGAAAGGGAAGGGCUUGAGAUCAGACUUGGUAUUUUGCAUGCUGCUCUCUCGGGGGCGGCCGCUGCGGUUUACCGGGCCAGCAUCGGUUUGGAGCGGCAGGAUAAUGGCGGAGGAAUGUGGCACGGCUUCUGCUGUGUGUUAUAGCCUCUGACGAUGCUGCCAGCCUAGACCGAGGACUGCGGUUUUUAACCU